CUGUUCCUGGAGAUCCUUCCCUUGGGGAGUUUUCCUUGCAAGCCUGGAUCUUUGGCAAUGGGCAACCUACACAACUGCAGUUGAAAUAUCCUCAGGAGAGGAAGGAACAGAGCUAUCCAAACACCUCUAAGAAAAAAAAGAUUCUGAUGUUUCCCAUAAAGCCUCUUAAGUACCACAGAAGGCACACUGCAACCUUCUCUUGUCAAGUUCAUCUCACAUCUCUAGCUAAGGAAGUUCAGAUUGAUUCCUGAUUUAGAGGCAUCGAAAGUGUACGCAGUGUGACAUAAAACCAAAGCAAAACACAUCAGUUCUUGGGGUUUGUCAAAAACUCCUGUGUUUACAUCCACUUCACAGAGCAGUUUGGAAAGGUUCAUAAAGUCUGAGCCCAUGUUUCAGGGCUGCAUUUCAUGCAAGCUGUGCAGAGACAGACAGUUAUCUGCUUGCUUCCAGAGAGUCCGUGUCAAACACAACCAGAUGGUGGAUGCAGCUCUGCAUUGCAUGGAGAUACCAGGGAUAACCUGUGCCGAGCGGCCCUGCCUUCCAACUCUGCUCCAGCUCUAACAAACUCAGGUAAUGAGUGCUUAACCCUCAGGAACCACAAGGGAUUGGCCUAGCAGUAAUGUGUAGUUGUCAGAGAAUGUGUCUAUGUGCAGCUUGGUCAUAAAUUCUGCUCAGAAUUUAAAUGUAUUGUUGUUAUUUACAAUUGGAAACCCCUAAGCUCAGCCUGAACUGCUUUGAUCUGAUAGCAGCUGUCUUUUCUCCACUGCAGGAGUGUUGGUUUUGCAAAAGGGGAUGGAAGAGCAAGAAAAAUUCCUUUUGAGGGUUUAAUUCCUCUAAUGUUCCUUUAUCACCUGAGCUUUGAGCACUCUGAGUUCUUGUAACUACAGUGCUAGAGUCACCCCUAAGUCCAGCACAGCUUGGGCUCCCUGACCUCUCAGCAGCGUGGGGGUUUCAUUGCCUGAUUGCAUUCUGCAUGAAGCAGCUUUUCCUGUCUCCUCAUCAUAGGCUGAGCUGCCAUUAGUGCUCCUGAGUGCCUCAAUGUUUCUUGUGUUGUGAGAUACACAGAGAAGAAUAUCUCUCUGUGGGUGUCACGCUCUUCAGGCCCAACCUCUGCCAAUGUCAGGGGGAUGAUGAGCAUGGAGGUGUAUGCAGAGGCUUGCAUGUAGCCACAAAAUGCCAAGUGUUUCUUAAGAACAGAAAUAGAAGGAAUGCAGUGAUGUUGGAUGACUACUACCCAGGAUCAAUUUUCCCAAUUCUCCUCCUUUCAGGAGCUGGUAGCUUCCAUCAUAAGCUGCCACUUGCCAAGUAAAUGCAGCCUUUCAUGUUGGUAAAGGAUGCCACAAACAGGCACAUUUACUCCUCCCCUUUCCCUUUUACCUCCUACGCUCUCUACCAUUCAUCUGGGAUAAUACAGGUCACUUGGAGGAAUUCCUCCCACCUGCUGCUCAUCUAUAGACCAUUGGCAUAAGCAAAACUCAUCUACUGCAUGAAGCCAGCAGAGCUGCAGAGGAACUCGCCCCCCUCCAUCGUGCCUUGUGUACCGGCUGUAAAAAGCUCUCUUUGGUUUUCACACUGGGUUUACCCUUCAGCUCUGGUAGAGGAGGGAAAAGAAAGAGGUUGUGGGAGAAAAAAGCUCAAGUUUUGAUUUUCAGAAUGAGCAAAUUGAUGUGGAAGUCACAGAUGGUGAAUAAAUAUGGGACACAGAAUUGUCAUUUGGCAGCCAGUUCUGACCAAUUUAAGAGGGAAACUGUUAUCCAGUUUGGUUCAGGGAAAAUGUAUUCUGGGCAGCAGUUAGUCAUUUAAGAGGCCUCAUUGUUUCAUAAAAUAUAUUUGGGUUUGAUACAAACACAAUUAAUUCAGCUUUCUAACACUGUGUUUGAACCAAACCCAAAAUAUUUGUUGUGAACAUUUAUUCUUUUAUGCCAUUUAUCAGUUCCAGGUUCUUUUCUGAAGGCUUAGAUUUAAAAAGGGACUUGUAACAAAGAAAGAACAUUUGGGGUGACUUCAGCUGGUACAGCAAACUCCAUUCUUGUGCACUGUUUUGAGAUGUGCCUCCAAAUUAUCUGACAAAUGAUAUGUUCCAAAUUAAGUCCCUCAUUACCCAUGCUUUUCUAUUGCUAAGUGCUGCACGGCAUUCUCCAUUAUUAUACCGCUGUAUUUUGGGGACCUGUUAAGCUUUGCUUGCUGGGUCUCACAACUAAAGCAAAAGAUUUGAGGCAUAGCAAAGCCAGCAGUGCUGCCAGCUGAAUCCAACUGCAUUUAAGCUCAUGCUUUGGCUUCCCAGCCUUUGAGGAGAUAACAUGAAUGUCUCCAGCCCUCCUGACUCAAAGGCUUCUUCACUCCCAGCUCUCCAUGCAGAUCUCCUUGGUGGUGUUUAGCAAAUUGUGCUUUGGAAGCAGAAAACAAAGGAUAUCACUGAUGAACUGGAAUGGUAAAUGGUUUUUCUCAGUGCAGGAGCAGCUUGCUGUCUCCCAUCUUACUCCGUUUUUCCUUCCCCAAAAUGUUUCCUAGCCAGUGGCUCCUGCAAAACUGUCCUUUCCAACAUGCAGCAC
ensembl:lncRNA